rnacentral:sRNA from 1 species
UGAUUCUCCGUGCCGGGGAGGAUGAGAACCUUCGACUAAGGUUCGAGUCGAGCGUAAGCGAGACAACGUUGCCGCAGGCAGCGGCCCGAAGGGUGAGGCGCAACGCGCCGAAUAAUCCUUCCCCCACCACCA